rnacentral:rRNA from 1 species
AUUGAACGCUGGCGGCAGGCCUAACACAUGCAAGUCGAGCGGAGCGGCGGACGGGUGAGUAAUGCCUAGGAAUCUGCCUGGUAGUGGGGGAUAACGUCCGGCAACGGGCGCUAAUACCGCAUACUAUCAGAUGAGCCUAGGUGGGAUUAGCUAGUGGGUGGGGUAAGGGCCUCCCAGGGCGACGAUCGGUAACUGGUCUGAGAGGAUGAUCAGUCACACUGGAACUGAGACACGGGCCAGCCUCCUACGGGAGGCAGCAGUGGGGAAUAGGGGACAAUGGGUGAAAGCCGGAUCCAGCCAUGCCGCUUGUGUGAAGAAGGUCUUCGGAUUGUAAAGCACUUUAAGUUUGGAGGCGUUACCAACAGAAGAAGCACCGGCUAACUUCGUGCCAGCCGCCGCGGUAAUAC